rnacentral:piRNA from 1 species
GCGAGGCCAUGGCCCUGCAGUCGAUCC